rnacentral:misc_RNA from 1 species
UAUAAUCUACAACAAGUACACCCUUA